AUUGAACGCUGGCGGCAUGCCUUACACAUGCAAGUCGAACGGUAACAGGUCUUCGGAUGCUGACGAGUGGCAAACGGGUGAGUAAUACAUCGGAACGUGCCCGAUCGUGGGGGAUAACGAGGCGAAAGCUUUGCUAAUACCGCAUACGAUCUACGGAUGAAAGCGGGGGAUCUUCGGACCUCGCGCGGACGGAGCGGCCGAUGGCAGAUUAGGUAGUUGGUGGGAUAAAAGCUUACCAAGCCGACGAUCUGUAGCUGGUCUGAGAGGAUGAUCAGCCACACUGGGACUGAGACACGGCCCAGACUCCUACGGGAGGCAGCAGUGGGGAAUUUUGGACAAAGGGCGAAAGCCUGAUCCAGCCAUGCCGCGUGCAGGAUGAAGGCCUUCGGGUUGUAAACUGCUUUUGUACGGAACGAAAAGCCUCUUUCUAAUAAAGAGGGGUCAUGACGGUACCGUAAGAAUAAGCACCGGCUAACUACGUG
rnacentral:rRNA from 1 species